rnacentral:rRNA from 1 species
GGUCGACUGGGGGGCGGCGGGCGGGGUAGGAGGGGGGGUGCGAGCGUUGUCCGGGAGCACGGGGCGUAAAGGGCGCGGAGGCGGUUCGGUAAGUUGCUGGGGGAAUCCCGGGGCGCAACUCCGGGGCUGCCGGCACGACUGCCGGACUUGAGCACGGUAGGGGCAGAUGGAAUGCCCGGUGUAGCGGGGGAAUGCGUGGAGAUCGGGAAGAAUACCAGUGGCGAAGGCGUUCUGCUGGGCCGUUGCUGACGCUGAGGCGCGACAGCGUGGGGAGCAAACAGGAUUAGAUACCCUGUAGUC